CAACAGACAGGAACUGUGGCCUCAAGGCACAGUCACACCUCGUCCAGAAUCCAGGACCAAGCGCGGGCCCAUUCUGUCCUCUCCACCCCAGCCCUCCCCACCUCGCUUCAGAGAUGUCCCCAGGCCUGAUGUUGCUGGGGCACAUGGCUGGGGUGAACCCGGGCCCAUCCCCUGUGAAGUCAGCGGCUCCCCGGCAUCCUAUGACCCACACUGUGACCCCCAACAAAAUUGAUUGAUCAUCAAUCAAGCCAGCCUUCAAGGAGGGGGUGAGUGUGGGAACGACUGUCUCCUCUGGGGACUUCAGCACUGCACACACGGCCACAGCACCGCACCCGCACGGCCCCGGCGGCCUUUCCACCUGUGAGGAUGGAGAAGGUGGCAGGGGAAGGGCAGGCAGAAGAAUGGACAAAAAGAAACCUCCCACUGCUGCACAUGGGUCUGAGGAGAACCCAAUAAAGCACCUGGUGACCUUUGA
rnacentral:lncRNA from 1 species